rnacentral:rRNA from 1 species
AGAAUCAACGCUGGCGGCGUGCCUAACACAUGCAAGUCGCACGAGAAAGGGGCUUCGGCCCUGAGUACAGUGGCGCACGGGUGAGUAACACGUGAAUAAUCUACCUCCGAGUGGGGAAUAACUGAGAGAAAUCUUAGCUAAUACCGCAUAACACUUACGAGUCAAAGCAGCAAUGCGCUUGGAGAGGAGUUCGCGGCCGAUUAGUUAGUUGGCGGGGUAAUGGCCCACCAAGACGAUGAUCGGUAUCCGGCCUGAGAGGGCGCACGGACACACUGGAACUGAAACACGGUCCAGACUCCUACGGAGGCAGCAGUGGGGAAUUUUGCGCAAUGGGGAAACCCUGACGCAGCAACGCCGCGUGGAGGAUGAAAUCCCUUGGGAUGUAAACUCCUUUCGAUAGGGAAGAUAAUGACGGUACCUAUAGAAGAAGCCCGGCUAACUUCGACGCCAGCAGCCGC